rnacentral:rRNA from 1 species
ACCCACAGCCAUAUCGCCCUGCAGCCCAAGACUGGUUGCCCACUGAAGCUAAGCAGGGUUGAGCUUGGUCAGUACCUGGAUGGGAGACCUCCUGGUAAAACUAGGUUGCUGUUGGAA